rnacentral:rRNA from 1 species
AUUGAACGCUGGCGGCAGGCCUAACACAUGCAAGUCGAGCGGCAGCGGAAAGUAGCUUGCUACUUUGCCGGCGAGCGGCGGACGGGUGAGUAAUAUCUGGGAAACUGCCUGAUGGAGGGGGAUAACUACUGGAAACGGUAGCUAAUACCGCACAACGUCGCAAGACCAAAGAGGGGGACCUUCGGGCCUCUUGCCAUCGGAUGUGCCCAGAUGGGAUUAGCUAGUAGGUGGGGUAACGGCUCACCUAGGCGACGAUCCCUAGCUGGUCUGAGAGGAUGACCAGCCACACUGGAACUGAGACACGGUCCAGACUCCUACGGGAGGCAGCAGUGGGGAAUAUUGCACAAUGGGCGCAAGCCUGAUGCAGCCAUGCCGCGUGUAUGAAGAAGGCCUUCGGGUUGUAAAGUACUUUCAGCGGGGAGGAAGGCGAUAAGGUUAAUAACCUUGUCGAUUGACGUUACCCGCAGAAGAAGCACCGGCUAACUCCGUGCCAGCAGCCGCGGUAA